rnacentral:rRNA from 1 species
GAUGAACGCUGGCGGCGUGCUUAACACAUGCAAGUCGAACGAAGCACUUUAUUUGAUUUCCUUCGGGACUGAUUAUUUUGUGACUGAGUGGCGGACGGGUGAGUAACGCGUGGGUAUCCUGCCUUGUACAGGGGGAUAACAGUUGGAAACGGCUGCUAAUACCGCAUAAGCGCACAGCAUCGCAUGAUGCAGUGUGAAAAACUCCGGUGGUAUAAGAUGGACCCGCGUUGGAUUAGCUAGUUGGUGAGGUAACGGCCCACCAAGGCGACGAUCCAUAGCCGACCUGAGAGGGUGACCGGCCACAUUGGGACUGAGACACGGCCCAAACUCCUACGGGAGGCAGCAGUGGGGAAUAUUGCACAAUGGGCGAAAGCCUGAUGCAGCGACGCCGCGUGAGCGAAGAAGUAUUUCGGUAUGUAAAGCUCUAUCAGCAGGGAAGAUAAUGACGGUACCUGACUAAGAAGCACCGGCUAAAUACGUG